rnacentral:rRNA from 1 species
UUCUUGUUAGCGGGUGGGAUCUGUGAUAAACGUGUGUUACAUUGCCUGAAGGAGGGGGAAAACCUAAUGGAAAAAAGAAGUUAAUCCCGCAUAACGUCGCAGGACAAAGAAGGGGGACCAAUCGGCCCUCUUGCCAUAGGAAGUGNCCCAGAGGGGAUUNAGCUAGUAGGUGGGGUAAGCGGCUCACCUAGGCGACGAUCUUCCUUAGCUGGUCUGAGAGGAUGACCACCCACACGGGAACUGAGACACGGUCCCAGACUUCCUACGGGAGGCAGCAGUGGGGAAUAUUGCACAAUGGGCGCAACCCUGAAGCAGCCAUGCCGCGUGUAUGAAGAAGCCCUUCGGGUUGUAAAGCUACUUUCAGCGGGGAGGAAGGGAGUAAAGUUAAUACCUUUGUUCAUUGACGUUACCCAGCAGAAGAAGCACCGGCUAACUCCGUGCCAGCAGCCGCGGUAAUACAGAGGGUGCAAGCGUUAAUCGGAAUUACUGGGACGUAAAGCGCACGCAGGCGGUUUGUUAAGUCAGAUGUGAAAUCCCCGGGCUCAACCUGGGAACUGCAUCAGAUACUGGCAAGCUUGAGUCUCGUAGAGGAGGGUAGAAUUCCAGGUGUAGCGGUGAAAUGCGUAGAGAUCUGGAGGAAUACCGGUGGCGAAGGCGGCCCCCUGGACGAAGACUGACGCUCAGGAGCGAAAGCGUGGGGAGCAAACAGGAUUAGAUACCCUGGUAGUCCACGCCGUAAACGAUGUCAACUUGGAGGUUGUGCCCUUGAGGCGUGGCUUCCGGAGCUAACCCGUUAAGUCGACCCCCUGGGGAGUACGGCCCCAAGGUUAAAACUCAAAUGAAUUGACGGGGGCCCCCACAAGCGGUGGAGCAUGUGGAUUAAUUCGAUGCAACGCGAAGACAACCUUACCUGGUCUUGACAUCCAAAGAAACUUUUCAAAGAUGAGGAUGNUGCCUUCGGGAACCGUGAGACAGGGGCUGCAUGGCUGUCGUCAGCUCGUGUUAUGAAAUGUGGGGAUAAGUCCCGCAACGAGCGCAACCCUUAUCCUUUGUUGCCAGCGGUCCGGCCGGGAACUCAAAGGAGACUGCCAGUGAAUAAACUGGAAGAAGGGGGGGAUGACGCCAAGUCAUUCAUGGCCCUUACAACCAGGGCUACACACGUGCUACAAUGGCGCAUACAAAGGGAAGCGACCUCGCGAGAGCAAGCGAACCUCAUAAAGUGGGUCCGUAGUCCGGAUUGGAGUCUGCAAC